GCCGCCCCCGCCCGAGAGUUUGAUCAUGGCUCAGGAUGAACGCUAGCGGCAGGCCUAAUACAUGCAAGUCGAACGAGAUUGAGGAGCUUGCUCUCCAUGAAAGUGGCGCACGGGUGCGUAACGCGUAUGCAACCUACCUUAAUUCAGGGGGAUAGCCUCUCGAAAAGAGAGAUUAACACCGCAUAAAAUCACAAGCUGGCAUCAGCCAAAUGAUCAAAUAUUUAUAGGAUUAAGAUGGGCAUGCGUGACAUUAGUUUGUUGGUGAGGUAACGCCUCACCAAGACUACGAUGUCUAGCGGGAUCUGAGAGGAUGACCCCCCACACUGGUACUGAGACACGGACCAGACUCCUACGGGAGGCAGCAGUAAGGAAUAUUGGUCAAUGGGGGCAACCCUGAACCAGCCAUCCGCGUGCAGGAAGACGGCCCUACGGGUUGUAAACUGCUUUUAUACGGGAAUAAACCUCUCUUCGUGAAGAGAGCUGAAUGUACUGUAAGAAUAAGGAUCGGCUAACGUCCGUGCCAGCAGCCGCGGUAAUCACUGAGGAUCCCAAGCGUUAUCCGGAUUUAUUGGGUUUAAAGGGUGCGUAGGCGGCCUCCAUUAAGUCAGGGGUGAAAGACGGUGGCUCAACCAUCGCAGUGCCUUCUGAUACUGAUAGGCUUGAUUACUACGUUGAGGUAGGCGGAAUGUGACAAGUCAGCGGUGAAAUGCAUAGAUCAUGUCACAGAACACCUAAUCCUGCGAAGGCUAGCUUACUAAGGUGUUAAUGACGCUGAGGCACGAAAGCGUGGGGAUCAAACAGGAUUAGAUACCCUGGUAGUCCACGCCCUAAACGAUGAAUACUCGAUGUUAGCGAUAUCACAGUUAGCGUCAAAGCGAAAGCGUUAAGUAUUCCACCUGGGGAGUACGCCCGC
rnacentral:rRNA from 1 species